rnacentral:rRNA from 1 species
UAUGGAGGGUGCAAGCGUUAAUCGGAAUUACUGGGCGUAAAGCGUGCGCAGGCGGUUUGUUAAGUCUGUUGUGAAAUCCCCGAGCUCAACUUGGGAAUUGCAAUGGAUACUGGCAGGCUGGAGUAUGGUAGAGGAAGGUGGAAUUCCCGGUGUGGCAGUGAAAUGCGUAGAGAUCGGGAGGAACACCAGUGGCGAAGGCGGCCUUCUGGACCAAUACUGACGCUCAUGCACGAAAGCGUGGGGAGCAAACAGG